rnacentral:misc_RNA from 1 species
GAAAUGCGAUAAGUAAUGUGAAUUGCAGAAUUCAGUGGAUCAUCGAAUCUUUGAACGCACAUUGCGCCCGCCAGUAUUCUGGCGGGCAUGCCUGUUCGAGCGUCAUUACAACCCUCAGGCCCCCGGGCCUGGCGUUGGGGAUCGGCGGAAGCCCCCUGCGGGCACAACGCCGUCCCCCAAAUACAGUGGCGGUCCCGCCGCAGCUUCCAUUGCGUAGUAGCUAACACCUCGCAACUGGAGAGCGGCGCGGCCACGCCGUAAAACACCCAACUUCUGAAUGUUGACCUCGAAUCAGGUAGGAAUACCCGCUGAACUUAAGC